rnacentral:rRNA from 1 species
GACGAACGCUGGCGGCGUGCUUAACACAUGCAAGUCGAACGGAAAGGCCCUGCUUUUGUGGGGUGCUCGAGUGGCGAACGGGUGAGUAACACGUGAGUAACCUGCCCUUGACUUUGGGAUAACUUCAGGAAACUGGGGCUAAUACCGGAUAGGAGCUCCUGCUGCAUGGUGGGGGUUGGAAAGUUUCGGCGGUUGGGGAUGGACUCGCGGCUUAUCAGCUUGUUGGUGGGGUAGUGGCUUACCAAGGCUUUGACGGGUAGCCCGCCUGGGAGGGUGACCGGCCACAUUGGGACUGAGAGACGGCCCAGUGUCCUACGGGGGACAGCAGUGGGGAAUAUUGCACAGUGGGCGGAAGCCUGAUGCAGCAACGCCGCGGGCGGGAUGACGGCCUUCGGGGUGUAAACCGCUGUCGCCUGUGACGAAGCGUUAGUGACGGUAAUGGGUAAAGAAGCACCGGCUAACUACGUG